rnacentral:rRNA from 1 species
UACGGAGGGUGCAAGCGUUAUCCGGAUUCACUGGGUUUAAAGGGUGCGUAGGCGGGGAGGUAAGUCGGGUGUGAAAUCCCUCGGCCCAACCGAGGAACUGCGCCCGAGACUGCUUCUCUUGAGUCCCGGAGAGGAAGAUGGAAUUCCCGGUGUAGCGGUGAAAUGUGUAGAGAUCGGGAGGAACACCGGUGGCGAAGGCGGUCUUCUGGACGGUGACUGACGCUGAGGCGCGAAAGCGUGGGGAGCAAACGGG